UACGUAGGGGGCAAGCGUUGUCCGGAAUCAUUGGGCGUAAAGAGCGUGUAGGCGGCCCGGUAAGUCCGCUGUGAAAGUCCAGGGCUCAACCCUGGGAUGCCGGUGGAUACUGUCGGGCUCGAGUCCGGAAGAGGAGUGUGGAAUUGCCACGGUGUAGCAGUGAAAUGCGUAGAUAUCGGGAGGAACACCAGUGGCGAAGGCGACUACCUGGCCCGAUUCUUGACCGCUUGAGGCGACGAAAGCUGGGGAGCGAA
rnacentral:rRNA from 1 species